CGGGGAGUAGCGCAGUUGGUAGCGCGCUUGGUUCGGGACCAAGAGGCCGUGAGUUCGAGUCUCAUCUCUCCGACCA
rnacentral:tRNA from 1 species